rnacentral:rRNA from 1 species
GACAGAGGUCCCGAGCGUUAGGCGGAAUCACUGGGCUUAAAGCGUGUGUAGGCGGAUCGUUAAGUGCCUUGUGAAAUCCCACGGCUUAACCGUGGAACUGCUUGGCAUACUGGCGGUCUUGAGCCACCUAGGGGCAACCGGAACAAAUGGUGGAGCGGUGAAAUGCGUAGAUAUCAUGUGGAACGCCAAUGGUGAAAACAGGUAGCUGGGAGUGUGCUGACGCUGAGACACGAAAGCCAGGGGAGCAAACGGG